CCUACGGGGGGCAGCAGUGGGGGAUAUUGCACAAUGGGGGGAACCCUGAUGCAGCAACGCCGCGUGAAGGAAGAAGGCUUUCGGGUUGUAAACUUCUUUUCUCAGGGACGAAGCAAGUGACGGUACCUGAGGAAUAAGCCACGGCUAACUACGUGCCAGCAGCCGCGGGAAUACGUAGGUGGCAAGCGUUAUCCGGAUUUACUGGGUGUAAAGGGCGUGUAGGCGGGACUGCAAGUCAGAUGUGAAAACCACGGGCUCAACCUGUGGCGUGCAUUUGAACCUGUAGUUCUUGAGUACUGGAGAGGCAGACGGAAUUCGUAGUGUAGCGGUGAAAUGCGUAGAUAUUAGGAGGAACACCAGUGGCGAAGGCGGUCUGCUGGACAGCAACUGACGCUGAGGCGCGAAAGCGUGGGGAGCAAACAGGAUUAGAUACCCCUGUAGUC
rnacentral:rRNA from 1 species